rnacentral:rRNA from 1 species
AUUUAUUAAUAUAAGAAAGCAAAUCCGCUGAACUUAAGCAUAUUAUUAAGCGGAAGAAAAGAAAAUAACAAUGAUUCUUUUAGUAACGGCGAGUGAACAAAGAAAAGCUCAACAUGGAAAAUCCGACAGAUAGCUACCCGCGAUUUGUCGGAAUUGUCAAGUUGAAAAACAUUCCAAGAGUUCUUUUUUAUAAUAUGACAAUGAGAAGAAGUAGAUAGAAAUGUCUCUCCUUAGAGGGUGAAAGACCCGUAUUCUUAAUCAUAAAACUGAUCAAUUGGAAUGUUUUGUUUUUGAGUCGUGUUCUUUGAGACUGGAGCACUAAUUAGUGUGAUACAUUUCACAUAAAGCUAAAUAUUUGUAAGAAACCGAUAGUAAACAAGUACCGUGAGGGAAAGAUGAAAUAGUACUCAGGAAUGAGCAAUUAAAUAGUACCUGAAAUCGUUAAGAUGGAACGGAUUAAAAAAGGAAAAAAGUAACAACAUAGUUAAAAUGAGAGAUUUUGGUGCGCGCAAUAAAGAAUGGAGUCCUUAAAAAAGGAUGUAGAUAUUCAAGUAUCAAAACAAAAUUUUUCUUUUUUUAAAAAGAAAUUUUUUGAAGCUUUUGUUAUAAUAUUCAUUUUUAUUCUUAUCCUUUUUUUUAGGUAAGAUAAAAAUGAUACAAAAGUUGUCUUUCAUACUAUAUAUAUAUAUAUAUAUAUAUAUAUAUAUAUAUAAAUAUUAUGUUCUUAUUAAAAGAAACAUGAGUGAAUGAAAAUAAAUAAUCGUGGAGCAAAAAUAAACACAAUAACAAGAAAAAAAAAUAAAAAAAAUAAAAUAAAAUAAUUAAAAUAAAAAUAAAACAAAAAGAAACAAAAAAAAGCAAAAUAUAAAAUAAAAGAAUUAAUUGAAUUUAAUUUCAUUUUAUUUUUUUCCUUUUAUAUUUUGCUUUUUUAUUUUGUUUUAUUUUUAUUUUAAUUAUUAUUUUUUUUUUUUUUUUUUUUUCCCUUAUUGACUAUUUUUCUAAGCUAAUGUGGAAAAAUAUAACUUGCUUCUUUUUUUUUUUUUCUUUUCUGAAGGGAGAAAAAAAAGAAAAAUAUGAAAGAUACAUUUAUUUAAUUUACUGAGGAUUGUGAAAAUUAUAUUAAUUGUAUAUGAUGCGAAAUAAUAUAAUUUAAGAUGUUUUUAUAAAGUACUUUUUUAACCCACUCGUCUUGAAACACGGACCAAGGAGUCUAACAAAUGUGCAAGUGUAUAUGAUAAGAAUAAACAUAGUAUAAAAAUUUCUACGCAUAAUUAAUGUAACAAAAAUAUAUGUUUAUUAAUUGUAGAUUUUGUGGGGUUUUAAAUUUUUUUUAUAAAUCCACACAAAUGCAUACAAUACCGGUGAGCAAUUAUGCUUUAUUGAGUAAGAGCAUACUUGUUAGGACCCGAGAGGCUUUGAACUAAACGUGAUGAGAUUGAAGUCAGAGUAAAAUCUGAUGGAGGAUCGAGUUGAUACUGACGUGCAAAUCGUUCAUUUCAAUUGCGUUUAGGGGCGAAAGACUAAUCGAAAAGCCUAUUAGCUGGUUAUUUUCGAAAGAUCUCUCAGGAUCGCUGGAGUUGAUUAUAAUAUAGUUUUACCUGGUAGAAAUAAUGAUUAGAGGAUUCAAGGAGAUGAUAAUUCCUUGACCUAUAUAUAUCGAAAGAUUCAAUAGGUAAAAAAAUGAGGAAAUAACUUUAUUGUAUUUUCAUUCAUAUUUAAAAAUAAGAUAACUCCAAGUUGGCCAUUUUUGGUAAGCAGAACUGGCGAUGAGGGAUGCUCCUAACGCUUGGAUAAGGUGCCUAAAUAUCCGCUCAUUAGAUACCAUUAAAAAGGUGUUGGUUUGUGAUUACAGUAGGACGGUAUUCAUAGAAGUUGAAAUCCGCUAGGAAGUGUGUAACAACUUACCUACCUAAUAAACUCGCCCUGAAAAUGGAUGGCGCUAAAGCGGAUUACCGAUACCAAGCCAUAAAAAAGAAAAAAAAAAAAAAUUCAAUAUUUUUUUUAUUUUUUUAGAUUCUUUUUAUGAGUAGAAAAUCGUGGGGUUUUGUGUUGAAGCGAAAUACGUGAGUUUUCGUGGAACAUCUCCCUAGUGCAGAUCUUGGUGGAAGUAGCAAAUAUUCUUAUGAGAACUUUGAAGACUGAAGUGGAGAAGGGUUUUUUGUAAACUAUGUUUGAGCAAAAGUUAGCCGUUCCUAAGAGAUAGCUGAAAAGCGUUAUAAAUUGAGGUUACCUAUUAUAUGAAAAGUAUAGUAGUGUUUUUUCUCUUCUCGAAAGGGAAGCAGGUUGAUAUUCCUGCGCCAUAUGUAAUAAGAACUAAUAAAUAGAGAUGGUAACAUAUAUAUAAAUAAAUGAACUCCUUAACAUAGGCCUUACGCUUGGAGUGCGUUAUCUUUGCACUUUAACUUUAUAUCAAACCUUCGAAAUCGAUUUACUUGUAGAAAAGGUUCGAUGAAUUUACAAUAAGCAAUUUAUUUAUUAUAUGCGUGGACCGGUACACAUGAUAUAUAUAUUAAUGAAUUGUUUUGUAGUAAUAGUAAUUCGUUUGUUGUACGAAUUAUCCAAAGUUGUAUGGACUAUCCAUGAAAAAAGGAGGGAACACUAAAUUAAAUGGGAAUGUAUAAAAUACUAUAAAAGUAUGAAAGAAGAAAAAGUAAAGAAAGGAAAGAAAAAAAAAUAUUAACCUUCAGCUUUUUUUUCUAUUUUUUUUUUCUUUUUUUGCUUUCAUAUAUUUUUAUAGUGUUUUUACAUUAACCAUUUUUUUUUUUAUAUUCUUAAAUUACAAUUAUAAAAAUGAACGUACCAAUAACCGCAUCAGGUCUCCAAGGUUAGUAGCCUCUGGUUAAAUAGAAAAACGUAGGUAAGGGAAGUAAGCAAAUUAGAUCCGUAACUUCGGGAAAAGGAUUGGCUCUGAUAACACAAAAUGAGAAGAAAAAAAUGAAAAGAAAAAAAUGAAAAGAAUUGUGGUUGAAAAUAAAAAUGUUAAGAUGUUUAUUUAUAUAUUUAUAUUAGUUUUUCUUAUAUUUUAAGAUUAAUUAAUUAAUUAUAUAUUUAAUAUGUUAAAAUGUUUUAUAUUUCUUCUUCUACUCUAUUCUAUUCCAUUCUAUUCUAUUCUAUUUUUUUUUUUCUCUUUCUCUUCGAUAUUACAUAUAUUUUGUUAUUAUAAUAAAAAUUAUGUAAUAUUGUUUAGCUGUGUUUAUUCAGAACUGAAACGGACAAGGGGAAUCCGACUGUUUAAUAAAAACAUAGCAUUGUGAAAAGCUAUAACUGGUAUUAACACAAUGUGAUUUCUGCCCAGUGCUUUGAAUGUCAAGUUGAUGAAAAUUUCAAUUAAGCGCAGGUAAACGGCGGGAGUAACUAUUAUGACUCUCUUAAGGUAGCCAAAAAUGUAUGGUCGAUAAAAAGGACCAUCAGGAAUGGAUUAACGAGAUUCCUACUGUCCCUACUUGCGAUCUAGCGAAACCACAACCAAGGGAAAGGGCUUGGUAAAAUCAGCAGGGAAAGAAGACCCUGUUGUGCUUUACUCUAGUCUGACUUUGUAAAAAGAUUUAAGAGGUAUAGUAUAAGUGGUAGUAGAAAUUGAAAUAAUGUUUUUACGUCAGUGAAAUACCACUACUUUUAAAAAGUUUUUACUAAUCCAUUUAUCUAGUGAAUGACUAUUAUAUAAAUAUAUAUAUAUAUAUAUUUUCUAUAUUUUAUGUGUAUCACUUUUUAUGGAGACAGAGUCAGGUGGGGAGUUUGACUAAGGUGGUACAUCUGUUAAAAAAUAACGCAGAUGUCCAAAGAUAAGCUCAAGGAGAACAGAAAUCUCUUGUAGACUAAAAGGGGAAAAGCUUGUUUGAUUUCUAUUUUCAGAAAGAAUAGAAAACGUGAAAACGUGGCCUAUCGAUCCUUUAUAUUUGCAAAAUGACGUAAAAUUAUUUACUACUGUGCAUAUAAAGGUGUCUGAAAAGUUACCACAGGGAUAACUUGUUUGUGGCUGCUUAGCGAUAUUAGCAACGUGGCUUUUUGUAUUUUCGAUUACGGCUCUUCCUAUCAUUGGGACGCAGAAGUCUCAAAGUGUCGGAUUGUUCACCCGCUAAUAGGGAACGUGAGCUGGGUUUAGACCGUCGUGAGACAGGUUAGUUUUACCCUACUGAUGAAUAUUAUUAUAUUAUUAUAUAUAUAUAUAGUAUUGUGACAGUAAUCCAACUUGGUACGAGAGGAUUAGUUGGUUCAGACAAUUGGUACAGCAAUUGGGUUGAUAAACCAGUGUUGCGAAGCUACGUCUGUUGGAUAAUGACUGAACGAUUCUAAAGUCAGAACCCAUACUGAUUAAACAAUAAUAUAAUUGUAUAUUUUUGUUAUAAGGUUGUGUUUUAUUUUUUUUUAUUGCUAAUGUAAAAGAGAAAUUUAAUAUAUGCGUUAAUCUAUAUAUAUUAUGUAUAGAUUUUCAUAAACAUAUAAAUAAUCCCAUAAAGACGUAUCUUUUUUUUUUCUAAACAAAGAAAAAUAUGUUCUUUUUAUUGUAAUUUAACAACAAAAAUAAUCUAAAGUAUAUUGUAGACGACAUUGUUAGCCUCAGAGUGCUGUAAACAUGUGAGCAAACUUGUUUUGCGAACUGUUCAGGCUUAUCUCUUGUGGUUUUUGCUUUU